rnacentral:lncRNA from 10 species
UCUUGCCAUCUUGCCCAGGCUGGUCUUGAAUUCCUAGGUUCAAGCAAUCCUCCUGCCUCAGCCUCCCAAAGGACUGAGAUCACAGUUGUGAGCCACCAUGCCUGGCCUAUUAUGGAAAUUAUUCAAUGAUGGACACCUUCUUGCUGUAUCCUCACAUGGUGGAGAGAGAAUGAGCAAGUUGUCUUGUGUCUCUUCUUAUAAGGAAAGUAAUCCUAUCAUGUAGGUCCCCUACUCAUGACCUCAUCUAAACCUGAUUACCUUCCAAAGGUCCCAUCUCCAAAUAUAAGCACAUAGAAGGUUAGGUCUUCAACAUGUGAAUUUGAGGGUACAUAAUUCAGUCAACAGCAUUCUGGUACUGGGCUCCAAAUUCAUGUCCUUCUCACAUGCAAAGUCUAUUAAUUCCACCACGACAUCACUAAAACUCUUGACUUGUUUCAGCAUCAGCUCUAACAUCUAAAGUCCAAAGAUUCAUCCAAAUAUCAUCUAAAUCAGACAUGAAUGAGACUCAAGGUAAAUUCAUUCUGAGGCAAAAUUUCUCUCCAGCUGUGAACCUAUGAAACCAGACAAAUUAUGUGCUCCCCAACUUCAAUGGUAGGAGAGGCAUAGAGUAGACAUUUCCAUUCCAAAUGGGAGAAAUAUGGAAGAAGGGAGAGGUGACAGGUCUCAAGCAAACCCAAAAUUUAGUAAGGCAAGUUUCAUUAGCUCUUAAGGUUGCAUAAUACCCUUCUUUGGUUAGAUGCUGUGCACUGCAGGCCAAAUAGGGUGGCAUCCUUAUCCCCUUGGCUCUUCUGAGGCAGACCCACACCUUAGCCUUGGUGGGAGAGCUCCAUCCACAGCAUUGGUCCUGCUCUUUUAAAACCAAGAUGGAGGAUGAAGCCUUGCUCCUGGGGUCUGUAUACUCUGGCUUGUGGUGAAAUUGGUAGUCGUGAUGAUUUCUAAAUGACCAUUGGGGUACUACUUCCUUUGACUGAAUUCAAUCCAUAGUACUGUAUUCCAUACCUUCUUCUCCUGAUCACAACUCCUUGCUUCAGAUCAGUAUCUGGGUUAAAAUUUUUAUUAAAUUUCUUAUUAAAAUAUUUUUUAUUCUUUUAGGAAUGUGCCAUAUUAUCACUGUUAAAAAUGCUCUUUGUUCUAAUCAAGGACUCGUGAAGAAUCUAUGAAAGAAGUUAACUAUGAAUGACCUCUACCCACCUCUAGGGAAAGCAAGUCAUGCCAACCUACAACAAGAUGAUGUGAUGUUCCUCAACCAAGGAUGGGAUUACAACCCAAGAAACUCAUCAUAACCUGAAAAAAUCGAUACGUAUUUGGACACAAUGCUAUACAUCCUAUAAUUUAAUAUUAAAAUGAUCAACUAUGAAAGACUUGAUAAGUGUUUCAUUUCUCUCUGGCUCUCCCUGAUUUUUGGUGAGAAAUUCACUAUCUUUUAAAUAUUUUUCCCCUGUAG